AGCAGCCGCCGCGGUAAUACGGAGGGUGCAAGCGUUAAUCGGAAUUACUGGGCGUAAAGCGUGCGUAGGCGGUUCGUUAAGUCUGUUGUGAAAGCCCCGGGCUCAACCUGGGAAUGGCAAUGGAUACUGGCGAGUUAGAGUGUGUCAGAGGAUGGUGGAUUUCCGGUGUAGCGGUGAAAUGCGUAGAGAUCGGAAGGAACAUCAGUGGCGAAGGCGGCUACCUGGCCUAAUACUGACACUGAGGCACGAAAGCGUGGGGAGCAAACAGGAUUAGAUACCCGCUAGUCCCUGUCUCUUAUACAC
rnacentral:rRNA from 1 species